rnacentral:rRNA from 1 species
GACGAACCGUGCGAACGUUAUUCGGAAUCACUGGGCUUAAAGCGCGUGUAGGCGGGACGGCACGUCGGUCGCUGAAAGCCCCCGGCUCAACCGGGGAACGGGCGCCGAUACGACCGGCCUGGAGGGACGUAGGGGGACCUGGAACUUCCGGUGGAGCGGUGAAAUGCGUUGAGAUCGGAAGGAACGCCCGUGGCGAAGGCGAGGUCCUGGACGUUUUCUGACGCUGAGACGCGAAAGCCAGGGGAGCAAACGGG